UGAUCAAUAAUAAUUCCCAAAUAUUUCUGGAAAAAGCUGAACAAAAUGAUUGAUAACUUAAUACCAUCACUCUUAUCUGGGCUGAGAUUG
ensembl:snoRNA LOC120100336 small nucleolar RNA SNORD116